rnacentral:rRNA from 1 species
UAGGGAAUAUUGCGCAAUGGGGGAAACCCUGACGCAGCAACGCCGCGUGAGUGAUGAAGGAUUUCGGUUCGUAAAGCUCUGUUGCAGGGGAAAAAGAAAGUGAUUGUACCCUGCGAGAAAGGGGCGGCAAACUUCGUGCCAGCAGCCGCGGUAAUACGAAGGUCCCUAGCGUUGUUCGGAAUCAUUGGGCGUAAAGCGCGUGUAGGUGGCUGUGAAAGUCAGAUGUGAAAUCCCCGGGCUUAACCCGGGACGUGCAUCUGAAACUCCACAGCUUGAGUACGGGAGAGGGUAGUAGAAUUCCUGGUGUAGUGGUGAAAUACGUAGAUAUCAGGAGGAAUACCGGUGGCGAAGGCGGCUACCUGGCCCAGUACUGACACUGAGACGCGAAAGUGUGGGGAUCAAACAGG